GUAUUCCUAGGGGCUGCCACAUCACAUGACAGAAUUUACUUGGUCAGGAAGAAAGCCACUAGUGGUGGAUUUAACCCUUCAAUUUAAACAUUGCAGUUUCUUAAAACCUACAAUGUUUUACACUGCAUGGUUAAAAUAACAGGGACACUGACCCUAGACCACCUUAUUUAGGUGACAUGGUCUGGGUGUCUUUGGUGUAUUGAGUAGAUCUCCCGUACUCCGACUGAGUAUCAGCU